rnacentral:snRNA from 1 species
UUAUCGCUCUCGGCCUUUUGGCUCAGAUCAAGUGUAGUAUCUGUUCUUAUCAGUUUAAUAUCUGAUACGUCCCCCAUCGGGGGACUACAUAUUAAAUGGAUUUUUCGAACAGGGAGUCGGAAAUGGGGCUUGCUCCGUCCGCUCCACGCAUCGACCCGGUAUUGCAGUACCUCCGGGAAUGGUGCAACACUU